UACGUAGGGGGCUAGCGUUGUCCGGAUUUAUUGGGCGUAAAGAGCGUGUAGGCGGCCAUGUAGGUCCGGUGUGAAAACUCGAGGCUUAACCUCGAGAUGUCAUCGGAAACCAUUUGGCUAGAGUCCGGAAGAGGAGAGUGGAAUUCCUGGUGUAGCGGUGAAAUGCGCAGAUAUCAGGAAGAACACCAAUGGCGAAAGCAGCUCUCUGGGACGGUACUGACGCUGAGACGCGAAAGCGUGAGGAGCGAACAGG
rnacentral:rRNA from 1 species